rnacentral:rRNA from 1 species
GAUCCUGCGCCGAAGAUUUCCGGGGCUAAAACUUACUACCGAAGCUACGGCAUCAGUAAUGAUGGGUAGGGGAGCUUCCCAUACGGGUUGAAGCAUGACCGUAAGGACAUGUGGACAGUAUGGGAGUGAGAAUGUUGGCAUGAGUAGCGAGAUGUGGGUGAGAAUCCCACAGGCCGUAAACCCAAGGUUUCCAGGGGAAGGUUCGUCCGCCCUGGGUUAGUCGGAACCUAAGCUGAGGCCGAAAGGCGUAGGUGAUGGACAACAGGUUGAUAUUCCUGUACUACCGAUAACCAUUUGAGAGAAGGGAUGACACAGUAGGAUAAGCUAAGCACACUGUUGGUUAUGUGUGCCCAAGCAUUGAGGCAGUCAAAGUAGGCAAAUCCGCUUUGAUAAU